CCCUACGGGGUGCAGCAGGCAGUGGGGGAGGGACAGCGGAGAGACAUAUCUCAAGAGCAUAGAGACAAUGAGAACGCUGGGAGUCCCGGUUGUCGUCCUCAAUCAAGUCGCAAAAUACGAUGGAGAUGAGACUGAAGCUGUCUAUACUGAGGUAGAGCUUCUCGGAAAAAUAUUUGAGAAAGAGGAUAAAGCAGAAGAGAUAAUAAAUCUUCUCAAAGAACAGGUGGAUUUCAUCAAGAGCCGGACUGCAGAUAUUCCUGAAGACGAGAAGAAGAGCUUCCUUUAUCUGGAGCUAUCCAGUUACAGUGCGGGAAAGGGUGGUGUCGCUUAUGUCGAUGGGGAAAAUAUCCUUGAGCCUAUUCUGAUUGAAAACAUCGUCAAUGCGAAGAAUGAAUUGGCGGGGGAGC
rnacentral:rRNA from 1 species